CCAAAAGUAAACGUUUAAAAGUAGAAAAUAAAGUAAACUGGAUUCAGUUUCAAUUGAACAUUUUGCCAAUCGACUCUUCGGUGAUACAUUCCUUUUUACAAAAUGACGUUGAUUUUGUGGCCCACACCAAGUUAUGGUCUGACACCAAAUUUCUAUCCCAGAACAAAAUAUUUAUUAAAAGGGAAAUUCUUCCAUCCGAAUCGCAUGCAAAAAUUGGUGGAACCAAGAACAACCGAAAUUGUAUUGCAACCCCAACUGGGACCUAUGUACAGAGUAGAACGAUUAUUUUAUAACGACAAACCGACGAAAAGUUCAUUAAGACAAUUGCGUUUAAGACAUAAUCUUUAUAGAUGUUAGGUAUAAAAUAUUUAACUAAUUAAUAAAAUUAUCAAUUUUUAA